rnacentral:rRNA from 1 species
AUUGAACGCUGGCGGCAUGCUUUACACAUGCAAGUCGAACGGCAGCGCGGGCUUCGGCCUGGCGGCGAGUGGCGCACGGGUGAGUAAUGCAUCGGAACGUGCCCAGUAGUGGGGGAUAGCCCGGCGAAAGCCGGAUUAAUACCGCAUACGACCUGCGGGUGAAAGCGGGGGACCGAAAGGCCUCGCGCUAUUGGAGCGGCCGAUGUCGGAUUAGCUAGUUGGUGGGGUAAAGGCUUACCAAGGCGACGAUCCGUAGCUGGUCUGAGAGGACGACCAGCCACACUGGGACUGAGACACGGCCCAGACUCCUACGGGAGGCAGCAGUGGGGAAUUUUGGGCAAUGGGGGCAACCCUGAUCCAGCCAUGCCGCGUGCGGGAAGAAGGCCUUCGGGUUGUAAACCGCUUUUGUUCGGGAAGAAAUCCUCUGGGCUAAUACCCCGGGGGGAUGACGGUACCGGAAGAAUAAGCACCGGCUAACUACGUG